UACGUAGGGUGCGAGCGUUGUCCGGAAUUAUUGGGCGUAAAGAGCUUGUAGGCGGUCUGUCGCGUCUGCUGUGAAAUCCGGGGCUCAACCCCGGACUUGCAGUGGGUACGGGCAGACUAGAGUGUGGUAGGGGAGACUGGAAUUCCUGGUGUAGCGGUGAAAUGCGCAGAUAUCAGGAGGAACACCGAUGGCGAAGGCAGGUCUCUGGGCCACUACUGACGCUGAGAGCGAAAGCAUGGGGAGCGAACAGG
rnacentral:rRNA from 1 species